UACGGGGGGGGUAAGCGGUUGUUCGGAAUUACUGGGCGUAAAGGGCUCGUAGGCGGCCAACUAAGUCAGACGUGAAAUCCCUCAGCUUAACUGGGGAACUGCGUCUGAUACUGGAUGGCUUGGAUUCGGGAGAGGGAAUGCGGAAUUCCAGGUGUAGCGGUGAAAUGACGUAGAUAUCUGGAGGAACACCGGUGGCGAAGGCGGCAUUCUGGACCGACAUUGACGCUGAGGAGCGAAAGCCAGGGGAGCAAACGGG
rnacentral:rRNA from 1 species